rnacentral:lncRNA from 1 species
AAGAAAGGAAAGGAGGAAAAAAAACCAUAAAUCUUUAUGUAAAACUAGUUGCCCAUAAGUUUUCAGUUACUGAAGUGGAUCACCUAAUCACUAUGAACUUACUUGUUUUCCAGAUAUAAGCAUUCUUUGAUCUUUCUGUGAGUGACUUAUGUACAGAAACAGCAGUUCUGCAAUGAAUUUGAGAACACAUUGCAGAAUGGAGAAAUAGUAUCUUUAUUUUACCUGAUGUUGCUGAAACCAAGCAUCCCUAUAAAUUAUGGACAGACUUAAGGUGAAGUUUGCUCUGACUCAUAAGAUGGAAAAAAAUAUAAUAAAACAGAUAAGGUGUUUUUCACGAAUGACCUCCAGUAUUACGUGGACAUACACUUGCUGGCAUGGCAGGCAUACGUAGCACAACAGGAUACAUAUCAGAGAAGUUAUUUUGGUCAUAACAACCAUUCUUUGUGCUUCUCCUACUUGUGGAAUCGUGCGGAUGAUCUCUUUCAAUUAUUAAUAAAGCCACCUUUAAGGGUUUUAUCAUCACAAAUCACAGUUUCCAGGAGGGUAAAAAUACAGCACUGCUCUAUAAUUCAGCUUAUUGAAGAUUCCUGGUAUUUAACUGAAGAGUCCAAAACAUAUGUGGUGGGAAUGAUGUCAUGCAGAAAGGUGCCCUGUUCAAUUUGGAAUGUAUCAGUAUAG